UACGUAGGGGGCUAGCGUUGUCCGGAAUCAUUGGGCGUAAAGAGCGUGUAGGCGGCCCGGUAAGUCCGCUGUAAAAGUCAACGGCUUAACCUUUGAAUGUCAGUGGAUACUGCCGGGCUAGAGUCCGGAAGAGGCGAGUGGAACUCCUGGUGUAGCGGUGGAAUGCGCAGAUAUCAGGAAGAACACCAACGGCGAAGGCAGCUCGCUAGGACGGUACUGACGCUGAGGCGCGAAAGCGUGGGGAGCGAACAGG
rnacentral:rRNA from 1 species